rnacentral:lncRNA from 1 species
GCUCUGCUUAACUGGCUUGUUUUGUUCUGUUAUAUUUAAGUAUUCCAUUUACUUGUCUUUUCUAUUGCUUUGUCUACUUGAGAUUAUUAAGUGUGGAGCUUUUACAUAAUAUUAGUUUUUUUGUCCACAUAGAAGAACUUGCCGUUUUUUUACUUCCAUAAUGCUAAUGGUGCUUUUCCUUACACAUAUAAAGAUGGCAGGGUAACCAAAGAUAAAUGCACAAAGAGACAGCAACUCUGAGCUCUAUAUGACAGAUUAUGAGCAAACAAUCUAGAGGAAAUUAAACUAACUGACAGUUUCUCAGUUUCUAAUGUAAAACAACAGGAAAUAUCAGAAACCACACCCACAUUUACAGACAUUAUAGCUGCACAAAUGACUCUCCAUUCAUACAUUUACCUUUCAACCUAUAACCAUUAAUGCAUAUUUACAGACCUAGUUUAUUGGUAAAUUUCUCACAAUGGAGAGAUGUGUUCUACUAAUUCUUAUAACAGUAUCAGGUGUGUUUGCUGACAGCAUUGAACCAAAAGACAAGGAUAAUAUAAACAGUAAAGAAGGAGAGUCUGUGACACUGAGCUGCACAUAUGAUACAAGCGGCACUUAUGCUAUGCUUUUCUGGUACAGACAGUAUCCAAACAGAGAACCUCAAUAUUUACUGCGUAAAGGUGCUCGAUCAUGGAGCUACAGUGAGGAUAUACCAGACCGCCGGUUUCAGUCAGUUACUUCUGUAUCAUCCACUGAAUUUACUAUGGACAGUGUAACUCUGUCAGAUUCAGCUCUCUAUUAUUGUGCUCUAAGAGUUGGAGCCCAGUGAUACAAAAUACCUGAGAGGCUUUACAAAAACUCACAAACAAAAUAAAUGCUUUGAAUCAUAUCUGAUAAAGUGAAAAACAAACCACAGUUGUACUUUACAUGAGCCACAAAACCUGUGAAUAAAAGGUUAUGGUAACACCUGCUUUAACUUAACAGAUAAAUAAAAAUUAAGCAUGAAAAGUUUCAUUCAACAAUUAUUACUCUGAAAAAGUGACUGCUUUGUUCAUGCUAAUGAUUCAAUAACUCAUUUAUUUACCGUAUUUUCCGGAGUAUAAGUUCCACUUUUUUUCAUAGUUUGGCUGGUCCUGCGACUUAUAGUCAGGUGCGACUUAUUUAUCAAAAUGAAUUUGACAUGAACCAAGAGAAAUGAACUAAGACAAAUGAACCAAGAGAAAACAUUACCGUCUCCAGCCACCAGAUGGCACUCUAAUGCUGCUCAGUGCUCCUGUAGUCUACCACUGAAAACAGAGGGCCCUCUCGCAGCUGUAGACGGUAAUGUUUUCUCUUGGUUUUUGGUUCUAAAUAAAUGCGACUUAUAGUCCAGUGCGACUUAUAUAUGUUUUUUCCCUCAUCGUGACGUAUUUUUGGACUGAUGUGACUUAUACUCAGGUGCGACUUAUAGUCCGAAAAAUACGGUAGUUGAUUCUGUCUGUCAGUGUGAGUCAGAUUAUUUGAAUAUGAAGACUAUCUUUAGGGGGAGGUGCAUUAGCAGGAGACCUGCUGUGCUACAGUAGAGAGUGAAUCAAUGUUACAUCAAUAAAGGUCUGUCCUGCAGAUGUCCUGUCCUGUUUUUCAGUCUGUUCACUAACAUGUAAAAAUAUUCUAUGCCAAAGUGUCAGAUUUAAUUUUCUUGCUUGCUGUUCUGCUGUGGCAUGUGAAAUUUUCAUUUAAAUGAUUUCAACUUGAAUUCUGUCUUCCUAUUUGCAGGUGUCAGUUUUGGGAAUGUCAUCACAACAGUCCAAACUGAAGUGUUUUGGACAGAAGGACACAAUAAAACUCCUUUAACUGCUCCUCAGCAGUUAGUAUUGCCCAUAUCCCGGUUCAGCUCCUGAAUACUUUUUAGUCAUUUUUCAUACUACAGAGAGUUAAACAAAAGUCUGAAAUUGUAGAUCAAGAUCCUUGAUUCUCUGGAAAACUUAAAAAAAAAAAAAGAAAGAAAAAAAAACUGUGCAAAAGCACAUCAUACAGGUAAUUGAAAAUUAGAGAAAAAUUACAUUACUUUGAAAGAUAACAAGUGCAAGCAGAUUUAGGCAUCAAUCCAUCAUAUAUGUUAAUGUCAAAAGUCAAAAGGUGGAGCUAAACACAGGUUGUGAAACAGAUUAGUUCAGUGUUAGUCAGCAUCACAGAUCACUGAUGCAAGCAGGAACUACCAUCAUGUUCACUUGUGUGCUUUUACUCCUGACUUUUACUCAAGGUAAAAUCUUACAAGUAUCAUUAUAUCAACAUAUCUCAUUUUAAAUAUGCUUAAAUAAGCUGUUGUUGUAGGUAACAGAGCUAAAGAUGUCAUCACCCCAUACAGUGAUGCAGCAUUUGCCACUGAGACUGAGAGUGUGAAACUCUCUUGUAACUACACUGGUUCUGUUGAGAGUCUUCACUGGUAUCUGCAACAUGCAGGUUCACCACCACAGUUCCUCAUUCUGGAUUACUUUGGAACAACUACUCGUGCGAAUCCUGGAAUAUCCAUCAGUCACAGAAAAGAAGAGAAUAGUGUGGAUCUGAUCAUCUCCUCUGCUGCUGUAUCAGACUCUGCUCUCUACUACUGUGCCCUGCAGCCCACAGUCACAGGAAACACUCUACACUUCAUACAAGAACCUGACUGGCUUUAUAAUGAGAUUACAAUAACAGCAAGUAGUAUCCACACAGAUGAAGGUACUUUUAUUUUGAUGAUACAUUAAAAUUAAUAAUUAAUUAUACAUUUUCUGGCUGGUUAUAUUAUGCUGGUUACAUGUAUUGAUUUAACUCUCAUUAUUGAAAAGUAAUAUUUUCAGAUGUUUCAUCAUGUUUUGAAAACUUCAAUAACUAAAGUAAACAUUUAUCAUCCUUUAUAUUUUUCAGGUUCACCAAUGUUUUAUCCUUGUUAGACUCCUGAAUGUUGUCAAUGGGAGAACAAAUGUUUCUCACACUACCACUGGGGGGUGCUGUUUACAUGCAAAUGUUUCUGAGAGGACACCUACUGUAACUGUAUCUGAAAUGAAUUCCCAUAUGCAAGGAACAACAGAAGAUGGCCCUUUUUCUGGAAUUAUGUGUAAUUUGGUGAAACUAUUCUUAAAGGGGUCCUUUUAUUCUUUUUCCCUUUUCAACUUUAGUUUUCCUGCAAUGUUGUUGUUUGAGCAUAAAAAUAUCUGCAAAGUUGCAAAGCUCAAAGUCCACUUCAAAAGGAGAUAAUCACAACAGUAAUCACUUUUCAAAAAGUACAACAAAUGACUCGUUUGGACUACAACGCAUAUUUUCUGGGAUUUGUGAUAUCACAAAUACUGACGAAUGGGAUGAAGGGUCCCGUUUGAGCUGCACUAGAGAAGGCAACGAGUGUUAUCACUUUGUCAGAGACACGUUAGCUUUCCCAAAACAGACAAACUUAGAGUGGUUGCAAUCAUCCACUAAUAUCUUAUAAAUAUUAUAAACCCA